UUAUAAUAUUUUGUAUUUUAGAAGAAAAUGCCUAAAUUUUGUGCUGUUGUGGGUUGCGCAAAUCGAAGCACCAGAAAUGCGGACAAAUUUUAUAUUCCUUUCGCAGCAAUUAGCAACAAUAAUGGUAAAUAUAUACAGGAUGGGGAAAAAGGCGGAAGCUUUGGUUAAAAGCCUUGAAACGAGUGGAUUUAACGAAGCCAAAGUAAAGUAUUCCUAUGUUUGUUCGGAUCAUUUUAUUUUAGGUAAACCUGCAGAUUUGUCGGAUGUGGACCAUCCUGAUUAUGUUCCAUCACAAAAUUUAGGAUAUCAAAAUAAAUCCACUCAUAAUACUUGUAAUGUUGAAAGACACAGUUGUUUAAAAAAGAGAAAAUUGAAUAAAUGUCUCUAGACUUUUGAA